AGCGAACGCUGGCGGCAGGCUUAACACAUGCAAGUCGAGCGGGCCUUUCGGGGUCAGCGGCGGACGGGUGAGUAACGCGUGGGAACGUGCCCUCUGGUUCGGAAUAACUCAGGGAAACUUGAGCUAAUACCGGAUACGCCCUUUUGGGGAAAGGCUUGCUGCCGGAGGAUCGGCCCGCGUCUGAUUAGCUAGUUGGUGAGGUAACGGCUCACCAAGGCGACGAUCAGUAGCUGGUCUGAGAGGAUGAUCAGCCACACUGGGACUGAGACACGGCCCAGACUCCUACGGGAGGCAGCAGUGGGGAAUAUUGGACAAUGGGCGCAAGCCUGAUCCAGCCAUGCCGCGUGAGUGAUGAAGGCCUUAGGGUUGUAAAGCUCUUUUAUCCGGGACGAUAAUGACGGUACCGGAGGAAUAAGCCCCGGCUAACUUCGCG
rnacentral:rRNA from 1 species